UUGCGAAUCACGGCAUGAGCCGCCACUGCCUUUUAAGUAGUGCCGACGUGAAAAGAUCUUUUUCUUCAUUUGCAGAUGUCUUCACGUAGCGCAGAACGCAAUUUACACCCGAACAUUUGGAACAAAUUUUCACUAUGUAUUUUAAUAAUCGUUCUUAAAAAGUCAAGUGACAGCAUCGCUAUUAUCCGUUUUUUUAAAAACCCAGUGACAGUGGCACAAUCAGAAAAAAAUUGCCUUGUAUGGCUUGAAGUACAGAAAUUUAUGAACUCUAGUUGUAUAUUGCUCAGCCCAAAGCCAGGUGCGCAAGAAACCUGUAUGGAAGCUGGAGUGCUAUGACACGGAGGCAAUACUGGUAUAGACUUCGUGCAUCCAUUUUGCCUUCCCGACCUUCUUUACUUUAUUAUGGUCUUUCCGGCCUUUAUCAUGUAAGCAGUGGCAUCACUCACAAAUAGUAAUAUUUUUUCGUCAUAGCUACCAAACUAUUUAAAGACAAUGUCGAUACAUUAUCGCUAUGAAAUAACGCAAAAGUAAAAUAAAACCAU